rnacentral:RNase_P_RNA from 1 species
GUCGCAGGCGGGUGCGAAUCCGCGUGAGGAAAGUCGGGACAGCACAGAGCACCAUACUUCCUAACGGGAAGGCAUCGGAGACGAUGACAGAUAGUGCCGCAGAAAAUAACCGCCGUAAUGGUAAGGGUGAAAACGUGAGGUAAGAGCUCACGCGGCCUCAUGGCGACAUGGGUCCGGGGUAAACCUUAUGGGCUGCAAGACCAAAUAUACCGAUGAUGGUCGUACGACCGAGAGGGCUGCUCGUCCAAGUCGGGAGGGUAGGUCGCUAAAAGCAGACGGUGACGUCUGAAUUAGAGAAAUGACAAUCACUCAGUAAUGAGUACAGAAUCCCGCUUAUGCCUUU